UGGGGAAUAUUGCACAAUGGGCGCAAGCCUGAUGCAGCGACGCCGCGUGAGGGAUGACGGCCUUCGGGUUGUAAACCUCUGUUAGCAGGGAAGAAGAGAGAUUGACGGUACUUGCAGAGAAAGCGCCGGCUAACUACGUGCCAGCAGCCGCGGUAAUACGUAGGGCGCGAGCGUUGUCCGGAAUUAUUGGGCGUAAAGAGCUUGUAGGCGGUUUGUCGCGUCUGCUGUGAAAGGCCGGGGCUUAACUCCGUGUAUUGCAGUGGGUACGGGCAGACUAGAGUGCAGUAGGGGAGACUGGAAUUCCUGGUGUAGCGGUGGAAUGCGCAGAUAUCAGGAGGAACACCGAUGGCGAAGGCAGGUCUCUGGGCUGUAACUGACGCUGAGAAGCGAAAGCAUGGGGAGCGAACAGGAUUAGAUACCCUGGUAGUCCAUGCCGUAAACGUUGGGCACUAGGUGUGGGGGACAUUCCACGUUUUCCGCGCCGUAGCUAACGCAUUAAGUGCCCCGCCUGGGGAGUACGGCCGCAAGGCUA
rnacentral:rRNA from 1 species